GAUAGCUCAGUUGGUAGAGCAGCUGACUGUUAAUCAGCCUGUCGCAAGUUCGAGUCUUGCUC
rnacentral:tRNA from 1 species